rnacentral:rRNA from 1 species
GGCGAUUCGUCACACUGGCGGCCGUUACUAGGGGAUCCAAGCUCGGGACCAAGCUUGAUGCAUAGCUUGAGUAUUCUAUAGUGUCACCUAAAUAGCUUGCCGUAAUCAUGGUCAUAGCUGUUUCCUGACCGCGAGGGGAAAGCCUUUGGGUGCUGAAGGAGGGGCCCGCGUCCGAUUAGCUGGUAGGUAGGGUAAGAGCCUACCUAGGCGACGAUCGGUAGCCGGUCUGAGAGGACGGACGGCCACACUGGGACUGAGACACGGCCCAGACUCCUACGGGAGGCAGCAGUGGGGAAUUUUGGGCAAUGGGCGCAAGCCUGGCCCAGCAACGCCGCGUGGAGGACGAAGGUCUUCGGAUCGUAAACUCCUGUCCAGAAGGACGAAGCCGGUGACGGUACUUCUGGAGGAAGCCCCGGCUAACUCCGUGCCAGCAGCCGCGGUAAUACGGGGGGGGCGAGCGUUGUUCGGAAUUACUGGGCGUAAAGGGCGCGUAGGCGGUUUCGGAAGUCAUGGGUGAAAGCCCCGGGCUCAACCCGGGAACGGCCUGUGAAACCACGGGACUGGAGUGCUGGAGAGGGAAGCGGAAUUCCCAGUGUAGCGGUGAAAUGCGUAGAUAUUGGGAGGAACACCCGAGGCGAAGGCGGCUUCCUGGACAGACACUGACGCUGAGGCGCGAAAGCCAGGGGAGCAAACGGGAUUAGAUACCCCGGUAGUCCUGGCUGUAAACGAUGAACACUUGGUGUGGGGGGUGGACAAGUCCCUCCGUGCCGCAGACGACUCGUUAAGUGUUCCGCCUGGGGAGUACGGCCGCAAGGCUGAAACUCAAAGGAAUUGACGGGGCCCGCACAAGCGGUGGAGCAUGUGGUUUAAUUCGACGCAACGCGAAGAACUUACGGGGUUUGA